rnacentral:tRNA from 1 species
GGAGGGGUGGCAGAGCGGUCGAUUGCGGCGGUCUUGAAAACCGUUGAAGGUGAAAGCCUUCCGGGGGUUCGAAUCCCUCCCCCUCCGCCA